ensembl:lncRNA
AACACACUGUUACACUGUUACAGGGAAGAUACAGGUAACUAACACACUGUUACAGGGGAAGAUACAGGUAACUAACACACUGAUACACUGUUACAGGGAAGAUACAGGUAACUAACACACUGUUACAGGGGAAGAUACAGGUAACUAACACACUGUUACAGGGGAAGAUACAGGUAACUAACACACUGUUACACUGUUACAGGGGAAGAUACAGGUAACUAACACACUGUUACAGGGAAGAUACAGGUAACUAACACACUGUUACAGGGAAGAUACAGGUAACUAACACACUGUUACAGGGGAAGAUACAGGUAACUAACACACUGUUACAGGGAAGAUACAGGUAACUAACACACUGUUACAGGGAAGAUACAGGUAACUAACACACUGUUACACUGCUACAGGGGAAGAUACAGGUAACUAACACACUGUUACAGGGAAGAUACAGGUAACUAACACACUGUUACAGGGAAGAUACAGGUAACUAACACACUGCUACAGGGGAAGAUACAGGUAACUAACACACUGCUACAGGGGAAGAUACAGGUAACUAACACACUGUUACAGGGGAAGAUACAGGUAACUAACACACUGCUACACUGUUACAGGGAAGAUACAGGUAACUAACACACUGCUACAGGGGAAGAUACAGGUAACUAACACACUGUUACAGGGAAGAUACAGGUAACUAACACACUGCUAUAGGGGAAGAUACAGGUAACUAACACACUGCUACAGGGGAAGAUACAGGUAACUAACACACUGUUACACUGUUACAGGAAGAUACAGGUAACUAACACACUGUUACAGGGGAAGAUACAGGUAACUAACACACUGUUACACUGUUACAGGGGAAGAUACAGGUAACUAACACACUGUUACAGGGAAGAUACAGGUAACUAACACACUGUUACAGGGGAAGAUACAGGUAACUAACACACUGUUACAGGGGAAGAUACAGGUAACUAACACACUGUUACAGGGGA